GAUGAACGCUGGCGGCGUGCUUAACACAUGCAAGUCGAACGGUGAAGCUCCAGCUUGCUGGAGUGGAUCAGUGGCGAACGGGUGAGUAACACGUGAGCAACCUGCCCCUGACUCUGGGAUAACAGCCGGAAACGGCUGCUAAUACCGGAUAUGCACCAUGAACGCAUGUUCUGUGGUGGGAAAGCUUUUGCGGUUGGGGAUGGGCUCGCGGCCUAUCAGCUUGUUGGUGAGGUAAUGGCUCACCAAGGCGUCGACGGGUAGCCGGCCUGAGAGGGUGACCGGCCACACUGGGACUGAGACACGGCCCAGACUCCUACGGGAGGCAGCAGUGGGGAAUAUUGCACAAUGGGCGAAAGCCUGAUGCAGCGGCGCCGCGUGAGUGAUGACAGCCUUCGGGUUGUAAACCUCUUUUAGCAGGGAAGAAGCGAGAGUGACGGUACCUGCAGAAAAAGCGCCGGCUAACUACGUG
rnacentral:rRNA from 1 species